rnacentral:rRNA from 1 species
AGUGAACGCUGGCGGUAGGCCUAACACAUGCAAGUCGAACGGCAGCACAGUAAGAGCUUGCUCUUACGGGUGGCGAGUGGCGGACGGGUGAGGAAUACAUCGGAAUCUACUUUUUCGUGGGGGAUAACGUAGGGAAACUUACGCUAAUACCGCAUACGACCUACGGGUGAAAGCAGGGGAUCUUCGGACCUUGCGCGAUUGAAUGAGCCGAUGUCGGAUUAGCUAGUUGGGGGGGUAAAGGCCCACCAAGGCGACGAUCCGUAGCUGGUCUGAGAGGAUGAUCAGCCACACUGGAACUGAGACACGGUCCAGACUCCUACGGGAGGCAGCAGUGGGGAAUAUUGGACAAUGGGCGAAAGCCUGAUCCAGCAAUACCGCGUGGGUGAAGAAGGCCUUCGGGUUGUAAAGCCCUUUUGUUGGGAAAGAAAAGCAGCAGGUUAAUACCCCGCUGUUCUGACGGUACCCAAAGAAUAAGCACCGGCUAACUUCGUG